rnacentral:rRNA from 1 species
UACGAAGGGUGCUAGCGUUGUUCGGAAUCACUGGGUGUAAAGGGCGUGUAGGGGGGUCUCUAAGUCGAUGGUGAAAUCCUGCAGCUUAACUGUAGAAUUGCCUUCGAUACUGGAGAUCUUGAGUGCGGCAGAGGGAGAUGGAAUUCAUGGUGUAGCGGUGAAAUGUGUAGAUAUCAUGAAGAACACCGGUAGCGAAGGCGGUCUCCUGGUCCGUAACUGACACUGAGGCGCGAAAGCGUGGGGAGCAAACAGG